rnacentral:rRNA from 1 species
GACGAACGCUGGCGGCGUGCUUAACACAUGCAAGUCGAACGGAAAGGCCCUGCUUUUGUGGGGUGCUCGAGUGGCGAACGGGUGAGUAACACGUGAGUAACCUGCCCUUGACUUUGGGAUAACUUCAGGAAACUGGGGCUAAUACCGGAUAGGAGCUCCUGCUGCAUGGUGGGGGUUGGAAAAUUUCGGCGGUUGGGGAUGGACUCGCGGCUUAUCAGCUUGUUGGUGGGGUAGUGGCUUACCAAGGCUUUGACGGGUAGCCGGCCUGAGAGGGUGACCGGCCACAUUGGGACUGAGAUACGGCCCAGACCCCUACGGGAGGCAGCAGUGGGGAAUAUUGCACAAUGGGCGGAAGCCUGAUGCAGCAACGCCGCGUGCGGGAUGACGGCCUUCGGGUUGUAAACCGCUUUCGCCUGUGACGAAGCGUGAGUGACGGUAAUGGGUAAAGAAGCACCGGCUAACUACGUG